rnacentral:rRNA from 1 species
AGUUAAGUAAGUAAGGGCGUACGGCGGAUGCCUUGGCCAUAUCAGCCGAAGAAGGACGCGAUAAGCUGCGAUAAGCUGCGGUGAGGUGCAAGUAACCAGUGACCCGCAGAUUUCCGAAUGGGGAAACCCGGCAGUAGUAGUACUGUCACCUCUCGAAUGAGAGGAGGGCACCCGGUGAACUGAAACAUCUAAGUAGCCGGAGGAAGAGGAAUCAAAAGAGAUGCCCCCAGUAGCGGCGAGCGAAGCGGGCAAAGCCCAAACCGGAGCGGGAAACCGCACCGGGGUUGAGGACUACCAACAAGUACCUAGAUGAAGUCGAAUCAGGUGGGAACCUGAGCCAGAGACGGUGAGAGCCCGGUAGACGUAAAGAAGGGUAUGGGGUAGUAUCCAGAGUACCACGGGGCACGAGGAACCUUGUGGGAAGCAGGGGGGACCACCCUCCAAGGCGAAAUACUGAUAUGGACCGAUAGCGCAUAGUACCGUGAGGGAAAGGUGAAAAGAACCCCGGGAGGGGAGUGAAAGAGAACCUGAAACCGUAUGUCUACAAGCAGUCGAAGUCUGUAUAUAUAUCAGGACGACGGCGUGCCUAUUGAAGAAUGAACCGACGAGUUACUGUUGCUAGCGAGGUUAAGUGGAAAACAUGGAGCCGCAGCGAAAGCGAGUCUGAAUAGGGCGAGUGAGUCGCAUACCGUAGACGCGAAGCCAGGUGAGCUAUCCAUGAGCAGGCUGAAGCGGGGGUAAGACCCCGUGGAGGGCCGAACCCACUUAGGUUGAAAACUGAGGGGAUGACUUGUGGAUAGGAGUGAAAGGCCUAUCAAACCUGGAGAUAUCUCGUUCUCUCCGAAAUAGCUUUAGGGCUAGCCUCGGAUGUUUACCAAUGGGGGUAGAGCACUGAAUAGUUGCGGGGGCUUCACCGCCUACCAAGAUUAAUCAAACUCCGAAUACCAUUGGUCUAGAAUCCGGGAGUCAGAAUAUGUGGGCUAAGCUGUGUAUUCGAAAGGGAAACAGCCCAGACCGCCCGCUAAGGUCCCAAAAUCAAUGCUAAGUGGCAAAGGAUGUGCGUUUGCUCAGACAACCAGGAUGUUGGCUUAGAAGCAGCCAUUCAUUUAAAGAGUGCGUAAUAGCUCACUGGUCGAGUGGACAUGCGCCGACAAUAUACGGGGCUAAGCAUUGUACCGAAGCGGCGGAUCAGUACUUUGUACUGGUGGUAGGAGAGCUUUCUGUACGGGUUGAAGCAGUUGGAUAACCAACUGUGGACUGUCCAGAAGUGAGAAUGCUGGCAUGAGUAACGAGAGACAUGUAAAAAACAUGUCCGCCGUAAACCCAAGGUUUCCUGGGCAAGGCUAAUCCUCCCAGGGUUAGGCGGGAGCUAAGGCAAGGCCGGAAGGCGUAGUCGAUGCACAACAGGUAGAAAUUCCUGUCCCUCCAAAAGAGCGUUAUCACCAAUGGGGUGACGGAGCAGGGUAGCUAGGCGGGGUUCUGGACGUCCCCGUGAUGGCACGUAGGCUGAGAAGUAGUGAAAUGCGCUUCUCGUGAUGGCUGAGGUGUCGGACGAAGCAAUUGAGUGAAGCUAGUAAGCCCAUACUUCCAAGAAAAACCUCUAGGGAGCUCUGAGGAGCCCGUACCGCAAACCGACACAGGUGGGUGGGUAGAGCAUACCAAGGCGAUCGGGAGAACUAUGGUUAAGGAACUCGGCAAAAUUGCCCCGUAACUUCGGGAGAAGGGGUGCCGGUUUCGGUGAAGGGAUUUACUCCCCGAGCUAAGAUCGGUCACAGUAAAUAGGUCCAAGCGACUGUUUAUCAAAAACACAGGACUCUGCUGAAGUCGUAAGACGACGUAUAG